rnacentral:rRNA from 1 species
UCGCCUGUUUAUCAAAAACAUGUCUUCUUGUGUAUAAUUUGAAGUCUGACCUGCCCACUGACAUAUAUGUUGAAGGGCCGCGGUAUCUUGACCGUGCAAAGGUAGCAUAAUCAUUAGUCUUUUCAUUGAAGGCUUGUAUGAAUGGUUGGACGAGGCAUUGACUGUCUCAGUGUGAAUGAUUUUAGAAUUUAACUUUUAAGUUAAAAGGCUUAAUUGAAAUUAAAGGACGAGAAGACCCUAUAGAGCUUUACAUUUAUAUUUUGUUAUAUAUUUAGGAGUUAUUAUAUUUUAGGAUUAAAAAUGUUUUGUUGGGGUGACAGGAAGAUGGAAAAAACUCUUUUUAGAUUAAAAACAUUGAUGAAUGAAUUGUUGAUCCAUUAUUAGUGAUUAUAAGACUAAGUUACCUUAGGGAUAACAGCGUAAUCUUUUUCGAGAGUUCUUAUCGACAAAAAGGAUUGCGACCUCGAUGUUGGAUUAAGAGUAAUUUUGGGUGUAGAUGUUCAAAGUUUAGGUCUGUUCGACCUUUAAAUUCUUACAUGAUCUGAGUUCAAACCGGAGA